GAGGAAUAUUGGACAAUGGGCGAAAGCCUGAUCCAGCCAUGCCGCGUGAGUGAUGAAGGCCUUAGGGUUGUAAAGCUCUUUCGAUGGUGAAGAUAAUGACGGUAACCAUAGAAGAAGCCCCGGCUAACUUCGUGCCAGCAGCCGCGGUAAUACGAAGGGGGCUAGCGUUGUUCGGAAUCACUGGGCGUAAAGCGCGCGUAGGCGGAUAUGCAAGUCAGAGGUGAAAGCCCAGGGCCUAACCUUGGAACUGCCUUUGAAACUGCAUAUCUAGAGACUCGGAGGGGGUAGUGGAAUUCCAAAUGUAGGGGUGAAAUCCGUAGAUAUUUGGAGGAACACCGGUGGCGAAGGCGGCUACCUGGACGAGUACUGACGCUGAGGUGCGAAAGCGUGGGGAUCAAAC
rnacentral:rRNA from 1 species